ensembl:lncRNA
AGGUUUCACAAAAGGAGAGCUUCAACUGUCAAAGCUAUCAAGAUCUUGGGAAUUAUUUAGUUUAGCUAAUUUAUUUUGUAAAUGAAGAAUUUACCACAUUUAUGAGGGUGGGGAAAGAAGGAAUUGGAGCUAGAGUCACUUAUUUUAGGGAACUACAAAAGUAAAUGGAUGCUUGGCAAAACACUAACAUGAGAGGAACCGUGCAUUUUCUAAACGCUGCUGCUGCUGCUGCUGCAAGUCGCUCAGUUGUGUCCGACUCUGUGCGACCGCAUGGAGUGCAGCCUACCAGGCUCCUCCAUCCAUGGAAUUUUCCAGGCAAGAGAACUGGAGUGGGGUGCCAUUGCCUUCUCCAUGCAUGUUGAUGUUCCUCCAUAUAAAUCCAAACCAUUCCAGCAUUGCUUCGUCAGCAAGCAUCCCAGCCCUCAGACAAGGUAGAAACCAAUAGGGAACCAAAUGCAGCAGCCCUUCCUCCUUUCUUGUUCUAACCAUUAUCCACCAGCUUCUCUGGUCCAUUUUUCACAUUGCUUAUCCCUAACCAUGACCUUCUUAAGGCACUAUGUCCCCUCCAAAAACAGACUAACAAGGCAACUCAGACCUACCUGCUAUAGAUCGAAUGGUUGUGUCACCCCGUCAUCCCAAAAUUCAUAUGUUGACAUUUGAACCGUCAAUGUGGCAGUAUUAGGAGGUGAGGCUUCUGGGAGGGGAGAAUAGUAUCCUCAUGAAUGGGGCUAAUAUUCUGGUAAAACAGACCCUGGAGAGCUCUCUCAGCCCUUCCACUGUGAGAACACAGCUGGAAGAUGGUUCCCGUGAACCAGGAAAUGGGGCUCCCACCAGACACUGAAUCUGCUGAUGCCUUGACCCUGAACUUUCCAGCCGCCAGAACAACUGCCUUGAUGUUCGGCAUAACCUGAGCUCAUCUGGAUAAAAGCAUGGGUUAGGAGAAGAUACUCAGAGAAUCACAAUACUGAGUCCAGAGCCUCCAGGGAGGAGCCAGGUUGCAAAGCUUACCAAGGAAAGUCAUCUGAUAUAAUUUAAAACACAGAAUUCUCACCAGUCUGAAUGGAAAGUGAGAAUGUGAGCAAGCUGCUUCUCAUUGAGAACAUAAGACAUUGGCUCAAAAGUCUUGUGU